UCCAGCGGCCUGUGCCGCCAGAGAGGCGUCCAUCACAGGUCUUUAGAUUAGCCACAACCACGCCGCUCAGGACAAAAGAGCUCCUCCCCCCCACCCGUCCUGAUGGCUAAUGGAGGAGGGGAUGCGUCAUGGACACAGAGAAGAAGUUCACGGCUCUGCACUGAUGCCACGGUCCUUCUCAGCAGAUCAACAAAUCUGACUGGAGCAAGGCUGAGGGGUUUCCGCCAUGGUCAAGCAAAAAAUGUCUGAAAACGCACUUUAGGUCAGAUGAAGCAGCCCAUUCAGUCGAGCAACAAGAAGCACAUGUUUUCAGAUUAAGUAGAGCAAAACCCAAGGACUGGAACAGCAGGUGUCUGUUGCAAAACCCAAACCUAGAUUAUUGUGUUUUAUCAGACACAUCAAAGAUAUCCUACAACACUCUCCUUGAAAGGGCAAAUCGCUGAUGUGAAUGACGCCGGUUCGAGUCCCACCUCAGACAAGGUCAUCAAAGUCUACAAAGAAUGCCGAUUGUGAAUGAAAAUCUAUUUCUUGUCACCCAGAUUAAUUUCUGUGUGAUUUGAUAAUGAUAUGUUUAUAAAAUGUAUGCAUUCCUUUCUUAAUUUAUGAACACAUAGGCUACAUUUUGUAUGUUUUUAUGU